GCAUUUCAGAUAUCAGUAUGUGUCAUCGCACAUGUACAUAUUAUGCAACACAACGUGAAUAAUUAAGAUAACCUAACGACACAACAUUGUUCGUGUGUUUGUCAACAAAGUGCUACAUUUACUACGCACGCGCAAUCGCAUCUCGAGGCAAUGACUUCUAGAAGGCUCUUUACUGUUCGUCAGCAAAACGUUGGCGCAUAUUUUGUAUCUAUCGUUUGAUUACGUGCAACAUUGCACGCAAAUCAACGCGCCAAAAUACUAACAUUGACCGUGGCAGAGCACUUGACACCAAACGUGUCAACUGAUAUCGCUCAAUAUAAAUUUAAUGCGAAGUAAACAUCGAAACACGACCGAAGAUGUACAUAGCUAAGCUGAUGAAAUCCAGGGAACUGUACCUGCCAUCUUAUGAUUGUAAGAAGAACUAGUUUCCUGCAAAAGUUUACGCACCAAGUCAGAAGCAAAAAUAAGUUUCAAGGAAUAUGUUAUCUUUUGCAAAGGUUAUAAGGAAACUUGGGAAUACCGUCAUGUUUCGAUUCUGGCUAAAUUUUGUAUACAAGCUCCUUUUUUUCGAAAGAUUUGUGAGGACGGUUUUUGACGACUCGAAUUAUGGAGAGAUGCAGUAUAGUGUGCAACCUGUUCUGAACACGUAAUCUUCAUCUUUGGAUACAUGGAAUAUAUUGCAAGCAGUA